rnacentral:lncRNA from 1 species
GGGCAAGGUUAAAUGAAAACUCGAAGCUUCUAGUUUACCAGCUGCUUAUUUUGCUGUGAUUAACAUAAAAAAAAACAUGCACUGACUGGAACUCUUGUGGAACCAAGAGUGUGGCCUGAACUGAGUGACUCCAAGCUGACAGUUCCUAUUGAGAAAAUCACAACUCCUGCCCAAAGUUCUCCUGAGAUUAUCCAGAUCCGUCAGCCUUCUUCCUCUGCACAUUCUCCUCCUGAUGACUGCAAAAGGGAUUCAGAUUCACUAGAAGAUUUUGGGCAAAGGUUAACUGCAGGUGGACUUCUUGAUAUAAAUUAACAAAAUGGCAUCUGGCUUGGUUACUAUUACUCUGCUCCAAAGGUGACGUUUCAUCUCAGCUCGUUCUUUAUGGAUCACUGAAAGUUGUGGCUUCUUGGAAGAUUUAAAGUCUGAUAAAAAGUGUGAGUAAAGUUUGUCUCAAAAAAAUUCUUCCCUGUUGGUCUCACCCUCCCUGGGGAGUGGAUGGGAGGUGGGAUGGGGG